rnacentral:tRNA from 1 species
GCCGCCGCGGCGUUCCUGGUGGAGCGCCCCGCCUGCAAAGCGGGUGUCAUUCCGGUUCGAAUCCGGGCGGCGGUU